AACGAACGCUGGCGGCAUGCCUAACACAUGCAAGUCGAACGAGACCUUCGGGUCUAGUGGCGCACGGGUGCGUCACGCGUGGGAACCUGCACUUAGGUUCGGAAUAACUCCCCGAAAGGGGUGCUAAUACCGGAUCAUGUCUUCGGACCAAGGAUUUAUCGCACUUGGAUGGGCCCGCGUUGGAUUCGCUAGUUGUUAGGGUAAAAGCCUACCAAGGCGCGGUUCCAUAGCUGGUCAGAGAGAAAGGUCAGCGACUCUGGGACGGAGACACGGCCCAGACUCCUACGGGAGGGAGCAGUGGGGAAUAGUGGAAAGUGGGCGAAAGGAUGAACCAGUAAUGCUGGGAGAGUGAUGAAGGCCUUAGGGUUGUAAAGCUCUUUUACCCGGGAUGAUAAUGACGGUACCGGGAGAAUAAGCUCCGGCUAACUCCGUG
rnacentral:rRNA from 1 species